rnacentral:lncRNA from 1 species
AAAUAAUUGGUUUCAUUCAUCUUUUGUAAGGAUAUUCGUGUCUCAAAUAUAUUUAGUUUUUCUGUAAUUGUAGGUAUUUAUUUUCUUCUGCUAGCUUUGGAAUUGGUUUGUUCUUUUUUUUUCUAGUUCCUUUAGGUGCAAAAUUAGAUUGUUAAUUUGAGAUAUUCAUAAUUUAUUGAUGAAGGUGUUUAGUGCUAUAAGCUUUCCUCUUAACAUUGCUUCAGCUGUAUCUCAGAGAUAUUGCUCUUGAAUUAUUUUACUGAAUGGCUUGGCUUCCUUGGAUGGGAUUUAACCUUGUUCCUGGCUCUUGAUGAGCGUCCUUGCCUUCCAGAUUCUAAGUUCCAUGACUUUCAUUUCAGUCAUUUCAGACUGGUUGAGAACCAUUACUGGGGAGCUAGUGGGCUCAUUUGGAGGAGGAGUUUGUCUUCAAUUGCAAAAAAAAAAAAAAAAAAAAAAAAAAAGAAGAA